AUUGAACGCUGGCGGCAUGCCUUACACAUGCAAGUCGAACGGCAGCACGGGGCAACCUGGUGGCGAGUGGCGAACGGGUGAGUAAUAUAUCGGAACGUACCCAGAAGUGGGGGAUAACGCAGCGAAAGUUGCGCUAAUACCGCAUACGAUCUACGGAUGAAAGUGGGGGACCUGCAGGCCUCAUGCUUUUGGAGCGGCCGAUAUCUGAUUAGCUAGUUGGUGAGGUAAAGGCUCACCAAGGCAUCGAUCAGUAGCUGGUCUGAGAGGACGACCAGCCACACUGGAACUGAGACACGGUCCAGACUCCUACGGGAGGCAGCAGUGGGGAAUUUUAGACAAUGGGGGCAACCCUGAUCCAGCAAUGCCGCGUGAGUGAAGAAGGCCUUCGGGUUGUAAAGCUCUUUUGUCAGGGAAGAAACGGUGUUUUCUAAUAAAGAGCACUAAUGACGGUACCUGAAGAAUAAGCACCGGCUAACUACGUGCCAGCAGCCGCAGUAAUACGUAGGGUGCAAGCGUUAAUCGGAAUUACUGGGCGUAAAGCGUGCGCAGGCGGUUAUGUAAGUCAGCUGUGAAAUCCCCGGGCUUAACCUGGGAAUGGCAGUUGAGACUGCAUGGCUAGAGUGUGUCAGAGGGGGGUAGAAUUCCACGUGUAGCAGUGAAAUGCGUAGAGAUGUGGAGGAAUACCGAUGGCGAAGGCAGCCCCCUGGGAUAACACUGACGCUCAUGCACGAAAGCGUGGGGAGCAAACAGGAUUAGAUACCCUGGUAGUCCACGCCCUAAACGAUGUCUACUAGUUGUCGGGUCUUAAUUGACUUGNAAANGCAGCUAACGCGUGAAGUAGACCGCCUGGGGAGUACGGUCGCAAGAUUAAAACUCAAAGGAAUUGACGGGGACCCGCACAAGCGGUGGAUGAUGUGGAUUAAUUCGAUGCAACGCGAAAAACCUUACCUACCCUUGACAUGGUCAGA
rnacentral:rRNA from 1 species